UGGGGAAUAUUGGACAAUGGGCGAAAGCCUGAUCCAGCCAUGCCGCGUGUGUGAAGAAGGCCUUUUGGUUGUAAAGCACUUUAAGCGAGGAGGAGGCUACUUAGAUUAAUACUCUAGGAUAGUGGACGUUACUCGCAGAAUAAGCACCGGCUAACUCUGUGCCAGCAGCCGCGGUAAUACAGAGGGUGCGAGCGUUAAUCGGAUUUACUGGGCGUAAAGCGUGCGUAGGCGGCUUCUUAAGUCGGAUGUGAAAUCCCUGAGCUUAACUUAGGAAUUGCAUUCGAUACUGGGAAGCUAGAGUAUGGGAGAGGAUGGUAGAAUUCCAGGUGUAGCGGUGAAAUGCGUAGAGAUCUGGAGGAAUACCGAUGGCGAAGGCAGCCAUCUGGCCUAAUACUGACGCUGAGGUACGAAAGCAUGGGGAGCAAACAGGA
rnacentral:rRNA from 1 species